UACGUAGGGUCCAAGCGUUAUUCGGAAUCACUGGGCGUAAAGCGUGCGUAGGCGGAUGUUUAAGUGUGAUGUUAAAUCGUGGGGCUCAACCCUGUCGUUGCAUCGCAUACUGGGCAUCUAGAGGACGGCAGAGGCAAGUGGAACUCGUAGUGUAGCAGUGAAAUGCGUAGAUAUUACGAAGAACACCAAUGGCGAAGGCAGCUUGCUGGGCCGACCCUGACGCUGAGGUACGAAAGCGUGGGGAGCGAACAGG
rnacentral:rRNA from 1 species